AAAUUGAAGAGUUUGAUCAUGGCUCAGAUUGAACGCUGGCGGCAGGCCUAACACAUGCAAGUCGAACGGUAACAGGAAGAAGCUUGCUUCUUUGCUGACGAGUGGCGGACGGGUGAGUAAUGUCUGGGAAACUGCCCGAUGGAGGGGGAUAACUACUGGAAACGGUAGCUAAUACCGCAUAACGUCGCAAGACCAAAGAGGGGGACCUUCGGGCCUCUUGCCAUCGGAUGUGCCCAGAUGGGAUUAGCUUGUUGGUGAGGUAACGGCUCACCAAGGCGACGAUCCCUAGCUGGUCUGAGAGGAUGACCAGCCACACUGGAACUGAGACACGGUCCAGACUCCUACGGGAGGCAGCAGUGGGGAAUAUUGCACAAUGGGCGCAAGCCUGAUGCAGCCAUGCCGCGUGUAUGAAGAAGGCCUUCGGGUUGUAAAGUACUUUCAGCGGGGAGGAAGGGAGUAAAGUUAAUACCUUUGCUCAUUGACGUUACCCGCAGAAGAAGCACCGGCUAACUCCGUGCCAGCAGCCGCGGUAAUACGGAGGGUGCAAGCGUUAAUCGGAAUUACUGGGCGUAAAGCGCACGCAGGCGGUUUGUUAAGUCAGAUGUGAAAUCCCCGGGCUCAACCUGGGAACUGCAUCUGAUACUGGCAAGCUUGAGUCUCGUAGAGGGGGGUAGAAUUCCAGGUGUAGCGGUGAAAUGCGUAGAGAUCUGGAGGAAUACCGGUGGCGAAGGCGGCCCCCUGGACGAAGACUGACGCUCAGGUGCGAAAGCGUGGGGAGCAAACAGGAUUAGAUACCCUGGUAGUCCACGCCGUAAACGAUGUCGACUUGGAGGUUGUGCCCUUGAGGCGUGGCUUCCGGAGCUAACGCGUUAAGUCGACCGCCUGGGGAGUACGGCCGCAAGGUUAAAACUCAAAUGAAUUGACGGGGGCCCGCACAAGCGGUGGAGCAUGUGGUUUAAUUCGAUGCAACGCGAAGAACCUUACCUGGUCUUGACAUCCACGGAAGUUUUCAGAGAUGAGAAUGUGCCUUCGGGAACCGUGAGACAGGUGCUGCAUGGCUGUCGUCAGCUCGUGUUGUGAAAUGUUGGGUUAAGUCCCGCAACGAGCGCAACCCUUAUCCUUUGUUGCCAGCGGUCCGGCCGGGAACUCAAAGGAGACUGCCAGUGAUAAACUGGAGGAAGGUGGGGAUGACGUCAAGUCAUCAUGGCCCUUACGACCAGGGCUACACACGUGCUACAAUGGCGCAUACAAAGAGAAGCGACCUCGCGAGAGCAAGCGGACCUCAUAAAGUGCGUCGUAGUCCGGAUUGGAGUCUGCAACUCGACUCCAUGAAGUCGGAAUCGCUAGUAAUCGUGGAUCAGAAUGCCACGGUGAAUACGUUCCCGGGCCUUGUACACACCGCCCGUCACACCAUGGGAGUGGGUUGCAAAAGAAGUAGGUAGCUUAACCUUCGGGAGGGCGCUUACCACUUUGUGAUUCAUGACUGGGGUGAAGUCGUAACAAGGUAACCGUAGGGGAACCUGCGGUUGGAUCACCUCCUUA
rnacentral:rRNA from 1 species